rnacentral:lncRNA from 1 species
CUCAGGAGCAGUUCUCUGAUCUCAUCUGCAAACUCUUUUGAUACUUUGGGAUAGAAUUUGUAUUAACAGAAGUUUUGAAGUCAUUCAGAAUGCCACAUGACCAACGUGGGGUCACCAAUUGGAACAGGGAAGAGAUGUGCACAAUGGCCCUCUCUCCAGCUUGUGUGAGCCGGCUCCAACACACAUCCUGUGGAGCGAGAGUUUGGUUGAAAUUUUUAAAAAAUGAAAUAGAACCACAAAGAAAAUAUCAGAACACAUUGCACUUAGUAAAGAUGGAGUCUCGCUAUGUUGCCCAGGCUGGACUUGAACUCCUGUACUCAAGCCAUCCUCCCGCCCCUGCCUCUUGAAGUGCUGGGAUUACAGGUAUGAGCCUAGUUUGACUUCUUAAAUGUAAAUUGAUAUUCAGGAGUUGCCUCUGGCCAAAUCCUUUUCUCAUUAUCUGGUGUAUCAUUUUGGAAUUCCUUUGGCUUAUUGUUCUCUAUGGUUCUGGAGUGAAGUCUAUGGAAAGCCUUAAACAUUUUGGGCUCUGUCACUUGUGUUCCUACGUAUUUACAGGAGAAAAAAAAGUGACCUUUUUAUAGAACAUAGUAAAGUUAUUCUCCUACUUAGAAGCAGGCUUUAUUCUGGAAGUCUGUAUAUAAGUUGUUUAGGGCUCAGAAUACAUCAUCUCCUUGAUGUCCAGUCUGAAUAACAAAGUUCUCAAACCUUAGCAUGUAGAAGAAUCAUU